UAUAGAGGUCCCAAGCGUUGUUCGGAUUCACUGGGCGUAAAGGGUGCGUAGGCGGUCGGGUAAGUCUGAUGUGAAAUCUCACAGCUUAACUGUGAAACUGCAUUGGAUACUAUCCGGCUCGAGGAAUGGAGGGGAGACUGGAAUACUUGGUGUAGCAGUGAAAUGCGUAGAUAUCAAGUGGAACACCAGUGGCGAAGGCGAGUCUCUGGACAUUUCCUGACGCUGAGGCACGAAAGCCAGGGGAGCAAACGGG
rnacentral:rRNA from 1 species